UACGUAGGGGGCUAGCGUUGUCCGGAAUCAUUGGGCGUAAAGCGCGUGUAGGCGGCCCGGUAAGUCCGCUGUGAAAGUCGGGGGCUCAACCCUCGGAUGCCGGUGGAUACUGUCGGGCUUGAGUACGGAAGAGGCGAGUGGAAUUCCUGGUGUAGCGGUGAAAUGCGCAGAUAUCAGGAGGAACACCGAUUGCGAAGGCAGCUCGCUGGGACGUUACUGACGCUGAGGAGCGAAAGCGUGGGGAGCGAACAGG
rnacentral:rRNA from 1 species